GCUGAUCUCCCCCGAGCGUCCACAGCGGCGGGGAGGUUUGGC
rnacentral:rRNA from 1 species